rnacentral:rRNA from 1 species
UGGGGAAUUUUGGACAAUGGGCGAAAGCCUGAUCCAGCCAUGCCGCGUGCAGGAUGAAGGCCUUCGGGUUGUAAACUGCUUUUGUACGGAACGAAAAGACUCUGGUUAAUACCUGGGGUCCAUGACGGUACCGUAAGAAUAAGCACCGGCUAACUACGUGCCAGCAGCCGCGGUAAUACGUAGGGUGCAAGCGUUAAUCGGAAUUACUGGGCGUAAAGCGUGCGCAGGCGGUUAUAUAAGACAGAUGUGAAAUCCCCGGGCUCAACCUGGGAACUGCAUUUGUGACUGUAUAGCUAGAGUACGGCAGAGGGGGAUGGAAUUCCGCGUGUAGCAGUGAAAUGCGUAGAUAUGCGGAGGAACACCGAUGGCGAAGGCAAUCCCCUGGGCCUGUACUGACGCUCAUGCACGAAAGCGUGGGGAGCAAACAGGAUUAGAUACCCCCGUAGUCC